GUUAUAACCGGCGAUUUCCGAAUGGGGAAACCCAGUGUGUUUCGACACACUAUCAUUAACUGAAUCCAUAGGUUAAUGAGGCGAACCGGGGGAACUGAAACAUCUAAGUACCCCGAGGAAAAGAAAUCAACCGAGAUUCCCCCAGUAGCGGCGAGCGAACGGGGAGGAGCCCAGAGCCUGAAUCAGUGUGUGUGUUAGUGGAAGCGUCUGGAAAGGCGCGCGAUACAGGGUGACAGCCCCGUACACAAAAAUGCACAUAUUGUGAGCUCGAUGAGUAGGGCGGGACACGUGGUAUCCUGUCUGAAUAUGGGGGGACCAUCCUCCAAGGCUAAAUACUCCUGACUGACCGAUAGUGAACCAGUACCGUGAGGGAAAGGCGAAAAGAACCCCGGCGAGGGGAGUGAAAAAGAACCUGAAACCGUGUACGUACAAGCAGUGGGAGCCUCUUAAUGGGGUGACUGCGUACCUUUUGUAUAAUGGGUCAGCGACUUAUAUUCUGUAGCAAGGUUAACCGAAUAGGGGAGCCGAAGGGAAACCGAGUCUUAACUGGGCGUUAAGUUGCAGGGUAUAGACCCGAAACCCGGUGAUCUAGCCAUGGGCAGGUUGAAGGUUGGGUAACACUAACUGGAGGACCGAACCGACUAAUGUUGAAAAAUUAGCGGAUGACUUGUGGCUGGGGGUGAAAGGCCAAUCAAACCGGGAGAUAGCUGGUUCUCCCCGAAAGCUAUUUAGGUAGCGCCUCGUGAAUUCAUCUCCGGGGGUAGAGCACUGUUUCGGCAAGGGGGUCAUCCCGACUUACCAACCCGAUGCAAACUGCGAAUACCGGAGAAUGUUAUCACGGGAGACACACGGCGGGUGCUAACGUCCGUCGUGAAGAGGGAAACAACCCAGACCGCCAGCUAAGGUCCCAAAGUCAUGGUUAAGUGGGAAACGAUGUGGGAAGGCCCAGACAGCCAGGAUGUUGGCUUAGAAGCAGCCAUCAUUUAAAGAAAGCGUAAUAGCUCACUGGUCGAGUCGGCCUGCGCGGAAGAUGUAACGGGGCUAAACCAUGCACCGAAGCUGCGGCAGCGACACUAUGUGUUGUUGGGUAGGGGAGCG
rnacentral:rRNA from 1 species